AGCUCCAAUAGCGUAUAUUAAAUUUGUUGCAGUUAAAAAGCUCGUAGUUGAAAAGUGUUGAGAGUGUGGCUCUGGAUAGAUGGUAAAAAAAUUUGCUAUCUAUUCUCCCUCUCUCUAUCAUCUUUUAUUAAAAUAAGUGUUGUAGAUAUUAAUUUAUUUACUUCUUCUUUUUUAAUUUGUUUACUGUGAAAAAAUUAGAGUGUUUAAAGCAAGAGUUGAUGUGUAGGGGUAAACCUUACCUUUCUUUUGUAUUCUUUUAGCAUGGGAUAAUGAAAUAAGAAAAUUAUAUUAUAUUUUUGGUUUUUUUAAAUAGUUGUAUUUUAAUGAUUAAUAGAGAUAGUUGGGGAUAUUCAUAUUUAAUUGUCAGAGGUGAAAUUCAUGGAUUUAUGAAAGAUGAACU
rnacentral:rRNA from 1 species